UACGUAGGGGGCUAGCGUUGUCCGGAUUUAUUGGGCGUAAAGAGCGUGUAGGCGGCCAGAUAGGUCUGCUGUGAAAACUCGAGGCUCAACCUCGAGAUGUCGGCGGAAACCAUUUGGCUAGAGUCCGGAAGAGGAAAGUGGAAUUCCUGGUGUAGCGGUGAAAUGCGCAGAUAUCUGGAGGAAUACCGGUGGCGAAGGCGGCAUCCUGGACCGGCAUUGACGCUGAGGAGCGAAAGCCAGGGAGCAAAGCGGG
rnacentral:rRNA from 1 species